GCUCGUACAGUCAUACGUUCGUGCGCAGGCCUUGUGGCUUGAGCGCAGGGCUUCCCUUGGUGUGGUUUGCUGUGAAAUUUGCUCGGGGCGUGCAAAGAGUGGCUGAGGAUGCGGAGAGGCGUGCGCGGUAACAUUCGUCACCAGCUUUGAGGGCAUGGCGAGAGGCGGGAGCGAACCCAUUAUUUCGUUUGGCUCUGCCCAGCCCUCAAGUGUUUAAAGGGUUGCCGCCUUAAUAAAAAUGAAAGCGAGUGCCGAUUCAACAUUCCAAUUGUUUCGUUCAUUUACAAAAAAAAGCAUUACAAGUCGGUCUUCAUUUGAAUACCCACUUCAAUUCACAGCACCGAUAAAGUAAUUGCACACCGUGCGUUGAUAUCGCAGUGAAUCCCCGACCACGACAUUGAGAUCUGCUGUGGCUACCAUGCUGACCUUGCGUCACGGUUAGCGUGCUGGAUUUACUACGCAGGCAGAGGUCAACUCGACAUGAAGUGACCGGGCUACCAUUGGCGCUGGCGAGGCAGCGAGGCGUAGCUGGAGCUUGAACACGCCAUCCGACUGUCCGUUGGGGUCACAAUGAAAGCGGACUGCGAUGGAAUCACCGAUCUUGCUGAUGAUUUUAGCCAAUCAAAUGAAGGUUGGGCGCUUGUCGCAUCGUUACUCGACCCCGCGGAUCGAUUUGGAAAUUGAACCGACACAAACAUUUUAACCGACACACACAUUAUGCUUAACCCCGUUAAUGUUGCUGUUUGUGUAUUUAUAGAUCGACUGAGCGGAAUCUAUACAAUUAAUCUCGAUUAACGAUCAAGAAUGACCAGGUGUGCGAUUUUAUUGCUCUAUUACAGCGCCAUGUCGACCUUAAUAGGCGUUCGCCAACAGCACUUCCUUCAACUGUGGGAUGUGCAUUGUCCCUUUGACUUCUCUGCUUUUCAAUACAAGCUUUUUUGUGUCGAGUCUGUUGUCCUUCCCCAGCGCAUACGAUAAGCACGGUUGACUACGUACGGUGCGAAAGAAGUUGAACAUUCGUGCAAAUUAGUGAACUCCAGUUCACCAGCAAUGUAUAAAAUAUUCAUUCAGGAGUUAAGUCCUGGUCAUACACAAUCCAAGAACGAUCGUUCGAUUCAUUUACUUAAAGGUGAAAAAAUGCACGUGAAUAAAAAAAGGGUGGCUGUUAAUAUUUAAUAAAAAAAUGUCGUCUAUAUAAUUUUUUUACGUAGGAUAAUGACAUUGCACCCAAAGCACUCGUUUUGCAAUCGCGUGUCGGUGGCGUCAAGGAAUACGCAGUGCGAGCCAGCUUCUCCUCUGAUGUGGUCACGGGCAUUCGGCUCUUCAUUAUUGGUUUAAGAGAGCCGGAGAAGUGUGGACGGGUGGGUGCAGACCGGUUCUCUGCUACACCU